rnacentral:tRNA from 1 species
GGGCGGUUAGCUCAGCUGGAUAGAGCGUUGGCCUCCGGAGCCAAAGGCCGCGAGUUCGAAUCUCGCACCGCCCACCA